CUGAAAGGCAGGAGUGCCCGCAAGGGAGCGCGGAGACAGGUGGUGCAUGGCUGUCGUCAGCUCGUGUCGUGAGAUGUUGGGUUAAGUCCCGCAACGAGCGCAACCCUCACCCCUUGUUGCUACCAGGUAAAGCUGGGCACUCUAGGGGAACUGCCCCGGUCAACGGGGAGGAAGGCGGGGAUGACGUCAAGUCAUCAUGCCCCUUACGUCCUGGGCUGCACACGUGCUACAAUGGCCGGCACAAAGGGAUGCCACACCGCGAGGUAGAGCUAAACCCAAAAAGCCGGUCUAAGUUCAGAUUGGAGUCUGCAACUCGAUUCCAUGAAGGAGGAAUCGCUAGUAAUCGCGUAUCAGCACGACGCGGUGAAUACGUUCCCGGGCCUUGUACACACCGCCCGUCACACCACGAAAGCCAG
rnacentral:rRNA from 1 species